rnacentral:lncRNA from 1 species
UUUAAAAAUACCAUCGCAAAUUCAUUAUUUUAUUCAAGCUCAAUGUACAUAAAUUGUAGUAGUGGGUAUGUGUUGUAAUGUUACAGUCAUACUAUCUUAUUGUAAAGGAUGUUCAAUUGUCUGUAAUUUAGGGACAUCAUUUUGUCCAGUACUAAAUCAGUCAGUAAUUGACAAAGGAAAACAAUUUGUUUUAAAAAGUGUGUAAUAACAGUAUUAAAUCGUUAAUUUUCAAAUGACUAUUGAAUAUAUGUAAAUAUAGAUAUAGGAAAGAGGGACAAAAGAUACCAGAGGGACAGUCAAACUCAUAAAUCGAAAAUAAACUGACAACACCAUGGCUAACAAUGUGGUAUGAGUGCCACCGUGCCAAUGAGACAACUCUCCAUCCAAGUCACAAUUUAUAAA